GAUGAACGCUGGCGGCGUGCCUAAUACAUGCAGGUCGAGCGAACGGACGAGAAGCUUGCUUUUCUGAUGUUAGCGGCGGACGGGUGGGUAACACGUGGAUAACCUACCUAUAAGACUGGGAUAACUUCGGGAAACCGGAGCUAAUACCGGAUAAUAUUUUGAACCGCAUGGUUCAAAAGUGAAAGACGGUCUUGCUGUCACUUAUAGAUGGAUCCGCGCUGCAUUAGCUAGUUGGUAAGGUAACGGCUUACCAAGGCAACGAUGCAUAGCCGACCUGAGAGGGUGAUCGGCCACACUGGAACUGAGACACGGUCCAGACUCCUACGGGAGGCAGCAGUAGGGAAUCUUCCGCAAUGGGCGAAAGCCUGACGGAGCAACGCCGCGUGAGUGAUGAAGGUCUUCGGAUCGUAAAACUCUGUUAUUAGGGAAGAACAUAUGUGUAAGUAACUGUGCACAUCUUGACGGUACCUAAUCAGAAAGCCACGGCUAACUACGUG
rnacentral:rRNA from 1 species